GGGCCCUAAGUUCAGGUGGUGGAACACCCUGUACCAGGGAGGUGACGGGUUCAAGUCUCGUAGGGCUCA
rnacentral:tRNA from 1 species